AAAAAAGAUCGACUCAGGCCCUGUUUAGUUCCCCACCUAAAAAUUUUUCAUCCAUCCCAUCGAAUCUUUGGACACAUACAUGGAACAUUAAAUGUAGAUAAAAAAAUAAACUAAUUACACAGUUUAGUUGAGAAUUGCGAGACGAAUCUUUUAAGCCUAGUUACUCUAUGAUUAGCCUUAAGUGCUACAGUAACCCAAAUAUGCUAAUGACAGAUUAAUUAUGCUUAAUAAAUUUGUCUUGCAGUUUCCUGACGAGCUAUGUAAUUUGUUUUUUUAUUAGUUUUUAAAAACUCUCCCGACAUCCUUCCGACACAUCCGAUGUGACACCCAAAAAAUUUUCGUUCCCAAUCUAAACAGGCCCUCAGUAUCUCUUCCAUCUUUUUUCUGUACGUGACCGGCUCUUCGGCUACCGUCGCCUCCGCCCGUCCUUCCUGCUCCCGCCACUGCCCUUCCUCCUCCACGUCGCAGUCCUUCUUCCUCCACGCCGCGGCUCCACUUCCUCCUCCACGCUGCUUCCUCCAUGGAUGGAGGAGAGCCGCCGCCCACUGAUCCAGCACCGCAGGACACCACUGGAGGCACCGCCCGUAGGAAAACCCUAGGCGAUGGGCUGGUGGCCGCGACUGUUGGCUUUGUGGCCGAGGCUCCUGCUUCUGGUGGCCACGUCGUGAUCACGGCUGCUGCUUUUGGAGCCAGCCAAGGAGGCCAGCCAGCCAGCCAAGGCGGCCAGCAAGCCAGGCAAGGCAGCGGCCAGCCCGGCAAGCCAGCCAGUUAGAAUGUAUCUUUUUUUUUUACGGCAAGCAGAAUCAAUCAAUCGUUUGUUUUCCAGAAGGG
rnacentral:lncRNA from 1 species